CAACACGCUAACGUUCUGAUCAUUCCCACGAAGAUAUAGACAAGAAAUGUGUCGCUUUGCUGUUUGGAGAAGUCUUUUUAUGACCCGUCUACCCUCUCUGUGACCACUGUGCCAUAAACCAAGAUGUAACUGUGUCUCCAGCUAGACCUUACCGCCUGUCCAGCUAGUGGGUUACUAUGUCUCCAUUCAGAUUCCUCUGUCUGUCCAGCUAGAUUGUUACUGUCUGUCCAUCCACGCUGUUACUGUUUGCACAGCUACAUUCUACAGUGUCUAGGGCUGGAAAACCCAGCGAGACACUGGUGGACUUUAAGUAGAUGAUGACAAAAUUGCUGUAGACUUAAAAAUUUUAUGUAUUUAUCAAAAAAACAACGUGGC